rnacentral:lncRNA from 1 species
AUCCGAAGAACGAUCCUAGCAUAGCACUCGAGAUGCAUAGGCCGGAGGGCUGGUCUUAGGUUGGAUGCCUGAUUGAGUCAAGUAGUAAGUUCUAGAUCAGGCUGAGUUACAGAGUAAGGCCCUGUCUCAAAAAAGAAGACAAAGAAAGAGAGGAGAGGAGAGAGCACCUUAAUGCUUUUCUUGUAUGGGAAAUCAAGGUAAAGGGAUGUCUGUGCAGCCAAGGAAGCAAAGCAUGGCCAGACGAAUUGCCACAAAGUCCGAGAGAGGAAAAACUCACAAAGUGAGAGCAGAAGAGAGAGAUGAAUCUUCAGACCUGAAUCAACCCAGCCCAAGGAAGCCAAGAAACUGAGAGACAUAAGAGUAGACUUGGACCACGUAAGAUGCAGUCAGUGAGUCACAGAGAGCUCUUCUGUCCCUUCCUCCCAUCCUCUAAAGCCUUUGGAAGCCGCCGUGAGUUCCCCAGUCAGAUGCACUGAAACACUUUCAUGUGAACUUGAAUUGUUCUCUGAGGCCUCUCCUUCGGGUCUUGCCAAGGACAUUAUCUGUCUAUUUAAUACGUACGGAUGCUACUCUAUUAGAAGGCUAAAGAUUUUAUUAAUGAACACUUCUAAGAAACACUGAGAUGAUCUCCUUAACAUAAGAGCCCAAAGAAAGGGGGACCUGCCAGCUCCCAGUCAGGCAGUGCAGGCAGGGCUGCGCCCGCUCAGAGUGCCCACCCAAUCCUGCCUUUGGGGGGCAUCUAACCUUUCUUUUGCAGCUGCUCCUAUCCAGGAACGUUGUGCAAUUAUUGGAGUCUGGAAUACAAUGAGUGUACACUAGGGAGCUUCCACCCCAUCUGAGAAGGAGCUGGUCCACAUUCCCACCUGGUCAUCAAGAUGUCAGUCUCCCACCUCAAGAGUGGGUCUAGUUCGAAGCCUGCUCGGGAAUACAGCCCAAUUCAAACCUUCUAUCUUGCUGCUACUGGGAAAUAGCAUCAUCCCCGAGGCGUUGACCCACUACAAAGACAAUGACAGAAGAUGGCUGCUUCUCGUAUAAUACCUCACGAGAGAUGCCUGCAGCUUCCGUUUCCUGUGACUGACACCCCACUUGUCCUUGUGUGUUCAUGCAUCUCAUCAUUGCUAGACGAAUUUAAAGAAUACAGCACAUUCCUAGAGCUGAGUUAUUCAUUCUGGACUCUUGAAAAAAAAAUACACCAGAGGAAAAAAGGGGAGGAAUUUGCUGAGAGAGUUAUCCUCCCAGAAGAGCUGGAAAAACUCUGACAGAAACUCUCCAGAGAGUCGGGGAGCAUAGAUCCUCACCUACCUGAGUCACUGGCCCCUGAUAAAGUCCUUGUGAAGAUGUCCCCACAGAUUAGGAUAAGCCAUACAGGAAGAAACCUGUUACAUAGACAUCAUCACAACAAGUCACAGCUGGUUUGUACCAAGAUGUCCUCACCACGUUAGUGUCACCCACACAGGAUGGAACUGCUACACAGACAACACACCGGCCAAGCUGCCACUGGUUGGUGAUGUAGAGAAGCUCUGUGAAGAAAUGGUCCCUUUGACAUCUGGCUCAGACACACAAGCUAAAGAGAAUGUCAUGAUAAUUAGGCCAGGUAAAGUCACCUCUGCCUCCCCACUUGGAAAAGCUGUGUGAAAACACAGUGCCCAUAUCACUUGCGUCAACCAGACAGUCUUCAGUCUGCGACAGUGAUACUAUCAACUAAGCCAACAUUGGUUUGUGUUUUGGGAGAGCCUCAUAUAGCUGUGGCUCCCCACCAUACCUGAGUCAGCCUCACAGACUUCACAGACUGGAAUACAAUAACAAGGUGAGAAGCCCAGGCCUGAGAACAAGUGUGUUGAUCCCUGUCCAGGAGGAUGGUCCCAACUCAAUGAAGAAAUCUUCAUCCACUGGGUUUCUGACGUUAGGCUGGAUCCAUGUAUGCAAAUGUGACUCUCUGAGGGCUUGUCCCCCUUCUCGUCACUUAAAAAACCCCUAAAUCUUGUGUCUCUGGACAGAGUAGAUCGAAUCCAGAUUACGCCGCUCUUCUUGCAUGUGGUUCCCUGAUGGUUAGUGUUCACUCCUGGGUCACGAACAUUUCCCAGGGCUUUUACACUUUCCCAGUCUCUGAAAGAUAGAUAGAUGAUAGGUACAUAGAUAGAUAAAUCUGUGUCAGCAACUUUCAGGUAUACACUACAGCGUUUUGUGCUGCAUGUGCACCAUUUGACAUUAAGGUUGUCUUGAAAUUAACCAAGAAAUGGGCAUCUUCUCACACACUGAAGUUAAACUCCCUUUA